UCAACUUGAGAGUUUGAUCCUGGCUCAGAACGAACGCUGGCGGCAGGCCUAACACAUGCAAGUCGAGCGAGACCUUCGGGUCUAGCGGCGGACGGGUGAGUAACGCGUGGGAAUGUGCCCUUCUCUACGGAAUAGUCCCGGGAAACUGGGUUUAAUACCGUAUACGCCCUUCGGGGGAAAGAUUUAUCGGAGAAGGAUCGGCCCGCGUUGGAUUAGGUAGUUGGUGGGGUAAUGGCCUACCAAGCCUACGAUCC
rnacentral:rRNA from 1 species